GACGAACGCUGGCGGCGUGCCUAAUACAUGCAAGUCGAACGAGAGCGACCGGUGCUUGCACUGGUCAAUCUAGUGGCGAACGGGUGAGUAACACGUGGGUAACCUGCCCAUCAGAGGGGGAUAACAUCCGGAAACGGAUGCUAAAACCGCAUAGGUCUUCGAGCCGCAUGGCUUGAAGAGGAAAAGAGGCGCAAGCUUCUGCUGAUGGAUGGUCCCGCGGUGCAUUAGCUAGUUGGUGAGGUAACGGCUCACCAAGGCCGUGAUGCAUAGCCGACCUGAGAGGGUGAUCGGCCACAUUGGGACUGAGACACGGCCCAAACUCCUACGGGAGGCAGCAGUAGGGAAUCUUCCGCAAUGGACGCAAGUCUGACGGAGCAACGCCGCGUGAGUGAAGAAGGUUUUCGGAUCGUAAAACUCUGUUGUUAGAGAAGAACAAGUGCUAGAGUAACUGUUAGCGUCUUGACGGUAUCUAACCAGAAAGCCACGGCUAACUACGUG
rnacentral:rRNA from 1 species